rnacentral:rRNA from 1 species
CCUACGGGAGGCAGCAGUGGGGAAUAUUGGACAAUGGGGGGAACCCUGAUCAAGCGACGCCGCGUGAGUGAAGAAGUAUUUCGGUAUGUAAAGCUCUAUCAGCAGGGAAGAAAGAAAUGACGGUACCUGACUAAGAAGCCCCGGCUAACUACGUGCAAGCAGCCGCGGUAAUACGUAGGGGGCAAGCGUUAUCCGGAUUUACUGGGUGUAAAGGGAUCGUAGACGGUUACGCAAGUCUGGAGUGAAAGGCUGGGGCCCAACCCCCGGACUGCUUUGGAAACUGUAUAACUGGAGUGCAGGAGAGGUAAGUGGAAUUCCUAGUGUAGCGGUGAAAUGCGUAGAUAUUAGGAGGAACACCAGUGGCGAAGGCGACUAUCUGGCACAUAACUGACGCUGAGGAGCGAAAGCGUGGGUAGCAAACAGGAUUAGAUACCCCAGUAGUC